ACAAUCUUGUUUCUCUUCAAAUCGUAUAAAUCUUUUGCCUUUUACUAAAGAUUUCCGUGGUGAGAUGCAAUAAGAUUAUAGUUCAAAUUUUUGUUACCCCGCUGUGUGGUAGGGUG
ensembl:snRNA U5 U5 spliceosomal RNA